ensembl:lncRNA ZNF271P zinc finger protein 271, pseudogene
CCAGAUUCCUAGAGCGGACAGGGCGAUGGCAGGUUCGCCGGGUGUGAGGCUUCACAGCGGUCCGGUGACCAAGUCGAGCCCAGUGGUGCCCAGUUGCCUCCAGGUCCCAGACCUUUAUGUGGACAAGAAAAGCUUACAGAGGAAAUGGUAAUUCUCCACUUGCACACUGAGGUGUCCAGUUGCAGCCCAUGGAGAUCCAGUUCAAUUAUGAAUCUCAGGAACACCACCUUCUGUCAGAUGGUGAGAACAAGACCAAGAUUGGAAAGCCAGCUUCAGAGGAGGGAAUUACAGCAAAAAUUGAACCAUUGACAGAAGAGUCUAGCAGUCUCAGAAUGUUCUCCAGGAUUCUGAAGGCAAAGAAUUCUGUGAAUUUGGGGAUAAAUUAAAUGAAAAAGAUCAGAACGUCUUUAAAAGGAGACCUCAUAACUGUGACGAAUAUGGGCAAAGCUUUGUUUGGAGUACAAGCCUUUUUAGGCAUCGAAAAACGCACUGUGAGAAACCUUAUGAAUGGGAUAAGUGUGGAAAGGCCACUGGGGAGAAACCUUAUUCCUGUAAUUGGUGUAUUAAAAGUUUCAGUUGGA